ACGAACUCUGGUAUUGAUUGGUGCUUGCAUCAUGAUUUACAUUUGAGUGAGUGGCGAACUGGUGAGUAACACGUGGGAAACCUGCCCAGAAGCGGGGGAUAACACCUGGAAACAGAUGCUAAUACCGCAUAACAACUUGGACCGCAUGGUCCGAGUUUGAAAGAUGGCUUCGGCUAUCACUUUUGGAUGGUCCCGCGGCGUAUUAGCUAGAUGGUGAGGUAACGGCUCACCAUGGCAAUGAUACGUAGCCGACCUGAGAGGGUAAUCGGCCACAUUGGGACUGAGACACGGCCCAAACUCCUACGGGAGGCAGCAGUAGGGAAUCUUCCACAAUGGACGAAAGUCUGAUGGAGCAACGCCGCGUGAGUGAAGAAGGGUUUCGGCUCGUAAAACUCUGUUGUUAAAGAAGAACAUAUCUGAGAGUAACUGUUCAGGUAUUGACGGUAUUUAACCAGAAAGCCACGGCUAACUACGUGCCAGCAGCCGCGGUAAUACGUAGGUGGCAAGCGUUGUCCGGAUUUAUUGGGCGUAAAGCGAGCGCAGGCGGUUUUUUAAGUCUGAUGUGAAAGCCUUCGGCUCAACCGAAGAAGUGCAUCGGAAACUGGGAAACUUGAGUGCAGAAGAGGACAGUGGAACUCCAUGUGUAGCGGUGAAAUGCGUAGAUAUAUGGAAGAACACCAGUGGCGAAGGCGGCUGUCUGGUCUGUAACUGACGCUGAGGCUCGAAAGUAUGGGUAGCAAACAGGAUUAGAUACCCUGGUAGUCCAUACCGUAAACGAUGAAUGCUAAGUGUUGGAGGGUUUCCGCCCUUCAGUGCUGCAGCUAACGCAUUAAGCAUUCCGCCUGGGGAGUACGGCCGCAAGGCUGAAACUCAAAGGAAUUGACGGGGGCCCGCACAAGCGGUGGAGCAUGUGGUUUAAUUCGAAGCUACGCGAAGAACCUUACCAGGUCUUGACAUACUAUGCAAAUCUAAGAGAUUAGACGUUCCCUUCGGGGACAUGGAUACAGGUGGUGCAUGGUUGUCGUCAGCUCGUGUCGUGAGAUGUUGGGUUAAGUCCCGCAACGAGCGCAACCCUUAUUAUCAGUUGCCAGCAUUAAGUUGGGCACUCUGGUGAGACUGCCGGUGACAAACCGGAGGAAGGUGGGGAUGACGUCAAAUCAUCAUGCCCCUUAUGACCUGGGCUACACACGUGCUACAAUGGAUGGUACAACGAGUUGCGAACUCGCGAGAGUAAGCUAAUCUCUUAAAGCCAUUCUCAGUUCGGAUUGUAGGCUGCAACUCGCCUACAUGAAGUCGGAAUCGCUAGUAAUCGCGGAUCAGCAUGCCGCGGUGAAUACGUUCCCGGGCCUUGUACACACCGCCCGUCACACCAUGAGAGUUUGUAACACCCAAAGUCGGUGGGGUAACCUUUUAGGAACCAGCCGCCUAAGGUGGGACAGAUGAUUAG
rnacentral:rRNA from 2 species